AACGAACGCUGGCGGCGCGCUUAACACAUGCAAGUCGAACGAGAAGGCGUAGCAAUACGCUUGUACAGUGGCGAACGGGUGAGUAAUACGUGGGCGACCUACCCUCGAGUGGGGAAUAACCCGCCGAAAGGCGGGCUAAUGCCGCGUACGCUUCCAUCUUUAUGGAGGUGGAAGGAAAGCCGUGCCGUGGGCACGGCGCUCAAGGAUGGGCUCACGUCCUAUCAGCUUGUUGGAGGGUAACGGCCUACCAAGGCUCCGACGGGUAGCUGGUCUGAGAGGACGAUCAGCCACACUGGCACUGCGACACGGGCCAGACUCCUACGGGAGGCAGCAGUGAGGAAUAUUGCGCAAUGGGCGAAAGCCUGACGCAGCGACGCCG
rnacentral:rRNA from 1 species